UACGAGGGGGGCGAGCGUUGUUCGGAAUUAUUGGGCGUAAAGGGUGCGUAGGCGGUUCCGCAAGUCCUGUGUGAAAUCUUCGGGCUCAACUCGAAGUCUGCACGGGAAACUGCGGGGCUUGAGUGUGGGAGAGGUGAGUGGAAUUCCCGGUGUAGCGGUGAAAUGCGUAGAGAUCCGGAGGAACACCAGAGGCGAAGGCGGCCGGCUGGACCUGACCUGACGCUGAGGCACGAAGGCGUGGGGAGCGAACGGG
rnacentral:rRNA from 1 species